CCCAUUUAAUAAAAAGUAUAUCACAAUAAUACCAUUUAAUAAGAAAAGCAUAUCACAAUUACAAAUUUACAAUACCCAUUUAAUAAAAAAGCACAUAACAACAAUACCCAUUUAAUAAUAAAAGCAUAUCACACUAAAUAUUUAACAAAUUUAACAAAAAAAAAAAUGAAAGUUCUGGACUGGUAGUAAUAGGUUGCACAGCGUGAAGAGAUUCAACAGCAUAAGAGGAGGAGGAGACAAAAGAAGAAAAAAAUUAAAAAGUAAAAAAAAUCAUCUGAUCUGGAUUGCUGUGGCGCAGCGUCAGAGUGAAAGGAGAAGAAGGUAGAAGAAGAGUAGAAGAGAGAGGGAAAAGAAUGUGAAGAUGAGAGAGAGAGAGAGAGAGAGAGAGAGAGAGAAAGAAUGGAAGGAAGAAAUACCUGGUUUCUUUGCAAUCUGCUGUCUAUGGCAUUAAGUUCCUUCUCUAAGGUUGUCGCGUGUGGCGGUAUUUUUUUGGCCCCUGCGGACGGAGGAAGGCCACUUUCCCCUUCCCGGUCAGUGGGUCUCCCUCCUUACCAGUGGGAAGGGUUGUAUAUUAGGUUUUUUAUUAUCAUGGUUGAGGAGCAGGCGUUCAUUCGUGAGGGAUUUUUUUAAAGCUGCCAAUAGAUCUUGAUUUUGUUUUGCUUUGUCUUUCUCUGUUUUGUUUUGCAAGUUACAUAUCUAGUGGUGUAUGGUGGAGGUGAAGUUGCGCGGUGGAUUGAGGGGCGCAGUUCAGAAGGCUGACCCAGAAUGGGCAAAUGAGAGGCCAAAGAACACCAUUGUUAUCCUAUCCUCUGUUCUUGUUGGUUUUCAUCCACUGGAGAUUUUUGUUUUAGCCUGGGUUGGACUGCCUUGAGACCUUCGAGAUGGGUUUAUGAAAAGAAAUCUCUCCGAGCAUAGUUAGACAAAAAUGGUUGCCGAUCUGUGUUGAUGAGGCUUUUCUGGUGUUUAACUUGAGCAGGCUGUUUGUGUUGAGCCGAAAGAUGAUGACAGCAAUAUGGAGCUUCUGCUCCUUGAUAUGCCAGGUCAGGGUCAACCAAGGUCGAAUACCCGGUGUCUCUAGGAUUUGCUUUGUCGGCUUAGACCUUGUCUUGGGUGUUGUGCAUUUAUUACUAAUUGUUAUCACCUCUUGUGAACUUUUAUUUA